UGAUUAAUUAAUAAAUUCGAUAGCGUCGAAGGGAUAUAUGUAAUGGGUAUUUGGAGUCGUUUAAUUCACAUGGUGUGGGUCAGAAUCAAGAUCAGCAAAUAUUAUUCUAAACUAUAAAUUAAGAAUAAUUGAUUAUAUUAGAUGAAUUCUGGCUCCCAAUCUGAGGUAUCAAUAUUUUUCGUGUACCAAACGGACUGUCUCAUGAAUGGGGAUAUAAGAAAUGGAUACAAUCUGACUGAUGUUUCCAAUUGGUUCUAUUUCGGCACCAAAUAUAUGAAUCUUAUCCAUCCCAAUGAAUCAAUUAAAUUAUUAAUGCAACAUUAAUGAGAUAAUAUUUCCUAUUAUUUUAAACAAAUUCAUUGUAAUUUUAAUUAGAAUUUAAAUUGGAAGUGAUAAAUACAAAAUAUGCAAUGGUUUUUUUUA
rnacentral:misc_RNA from 1 species